GUUUGAUCAUGGCUCAGGACGAACGCUAGCGGCGUGCCUAAGAAAUGCAAGUCGAGCGAGGUUAUCGGAGCUUGCUCUGAUGACUUAGCGGCGAACGGUCGCGUAACACGUAAGCAACCUGCCCUGGAGUGGGGGAUAGUCCUCCGAAAGGGGGCUUAAUACCGCAUGUGGCCACCGAUCUGCAUGGGUUGGUGUCUAAAGCAGCAAUGCGCUCCAGGAUGGGCUUGCGGCCUAUCAGCUAGUUGGUGUGGGUAACGGCCCACCAAGGCGACGACGGGUAGCUGGUCUGAGAGGAUGGUCAGCCGGACUGGGACUGAGACACGGCCCAGACUCCUACGGGGGGCAGCAAUUAGGAAUCUUGCGCAAUGGGCGAAAGCCUGACGCAGCGACGCCGCGUGACUGACGACGUCCUUCGGGAUGUAAAGGUCUUUUGCAGGGGAAGAAGGAUGUGACGGUACCCUGCGAAUAAGCUCCGGCUAACUACGUGCCAGCAGCCGCGGUAAUACGUAGGGAGCGAGCGUUGUCCGAAUUUACUGGGCGUAAAGCGCGCGUAGGCGGGCUCUUAAGUUGGGGGUGAAAUCCCGAGGCUCAACCUCGGAACUGCCUCCAAAACUGGGUGCCUUGAGGUAUGGAGAGGGAAGUGGAAUUCCUGGUGUAGCGGUGAAAUGCGUAGAUACCAGGAGGAACACCUGUGGCGAAGGCGGCUUCCUGGCCAUAUCCUGACGCUGAGGUGCGAAAGCUAGGGGAGCGAACGGGAUUAGAUACCCCGGUAGUCCUAGCCGUAAACGAUGGAUACUAGGUGUUAGUGGUAUCGACCCCACUAGUGCCGUAGCUAACGCAUUAAGUAUCCCGCCUGGGGAGUACGACCGCAAGGUUGAAA
rnacentral:rRNA from 1 species